GGCGGCGUAUAGACGCGGACGUGCCACCUUUAACCCUCCAGCCCCAGAGUCAAUGUUUGCCAGGGCCCCAGGGGCGGGCCCGAGGCCAGCGCGCCGCCCGGGCAGAGGCCGCGCUGGAAACGUCCCAGCCAGCGUGCUUGGGAACGUGAUCUUGUUGCGCGAACGCACGGGGCAGGAAAGGGUCGCGUGGGCGGGGAUGGUGCGUGGAUGCCGGAGCCACGGGCGCUUGGGCUCCGGAGCACACGCGCGAGCGGAUGAAGGACGGGGUGGCCGAAGCAGUGGAUGCGUGAAGGUUCUGAAACGCGCGUGCACGUGCGCGUGGAUGCCUGAGGUCAGGAGUGUGCGCAUGCGUGCCUGCCUAAGUGGGUGAAGACUCAGCAAAGAGGCAGCUGUUUGCCACCCAGGAAGGGAGCCGCACCCGGAACUCAUCUGCCCCCCACUGUGAACUCAGCCUCCCAGCCUCCAGAACGGGGGGUGGGGGUGGGGGAAGCAAAGGCCUGAUGCUGAACCCCCCAGGCGGUGCUGUUCGGGAACUGGGAACAUCAUCUGUCUUCCCGUGGACCCUGAACACACCCUUGGCUGUUCAUCAACAGGCAGGUCUGCUGGAUGCACACCUGUCUGCGGGGGGGUGGCCAGGGCGGGGACAGAGGGACACAGCUGCGAAGCACAGAUGUGCCCGUAGGCGGCUGUGCGUGGGGAAGGCAGUGCGUUUAUAUUUGCAUCCGAGGGGGACGUGCCUCCGUCAGGAAGAUGUGACUUGGGCCGCGGCCAACCCACGUCACCCAAGCGCUUCCACAUCAGGAACCAGAAGAACACGUGGUGUGAGGCCACACGGGCUGGUUCUACUCCCUCGGGAGUGUGACCUGCCCACUGGGGUUCCGGGGA